rnacentral:rRNA from 1 species
CGGAGGAAAAGAAACCAACAGGGAUUGCCUCAGUAGCGGCGAGUGAAGCGGCAAAAGCUCAAAUUUGAAAUCUGGCGUCUUUGGCGUCCGAGUUGUAAUUUGAAGAAGGUAUCUUUGGGCCCGGCUCUUGUCUAUGUUCCUUGGAACAGGACGUCACAGAGGGUGAGAAUCCCGUGCGAUGAGAUGACCCGGGUCUGUGUAAAGUUCCUUCGACGAGUCGAGUUGUUUGGGAAUGCAGCUCUAAGUGGGUGGUAAAUUCCAUCUAAAGCUAAAUAUUGGCGAGAGACCGAUAGCGAACAAGUACAGUGAUGGAAAGAUGAAAAGAACUUUGAAAAGAGAGUGAAAAAGUACGUGAAAUUGUUGAAAGGGAAGGGCUUGAGAUCAGACUUGGUAUUUUGCAUGCUGCUCUCUCGGGGGCGGCCGCUGCGGUUUACCGGGCCAGCAUCGGUUUGGAGCGGCAGGAUAAUGGCGGAGGAAUGUGGCACGGCUUCUGCUGUGUGUUAUAGCCUCUGACGAUACUGCCAGCCUAGACCGAGGACUGCGGUUUUUACCUAGGAUGUUGGCAUAAUGAUCUUAAGUCGCCCGUCUU